AAAGCUUUAAGUUAAAUAAACUAUUAACCUUCAAAGUUAAAAAUAUGUUAGGCAUAAGCUUUA
rnacentral:tRNA from 3 species